AGCCGAUGAUGAGCUCUUUAAAAUUUCUGACACCUCGUAUGAGAACUGUGCUUGCAGUUCCUGAUUUUCAGCUGUUAGCUGAGGCUG